UUCUUUAUGGUUUUAUAUAAGGUAAUUUCUGCCCAAUGAUUAAUUUUAUUUAAAUGGCUGCAGUAUCUUGACUGUACAAAGGUAGCGUGAUAAUUAGUUUUUUAAUUGGAAACUUGAAUGAAAGGAUAAAUGAGAAAUUUUCUUUAUUAAUUUAAUAAUUAAAAUUUUAUUUUUUGGUUAAAAGGCUAAAUUGAUUUUUAGGGACGAUAAGACCCUAUAGAAUUUAAAAUAUAUAUUUAUUAAUUGUGGUUUUUUUAGGUUUUAUUAAUUCCUUUAGUUUAAAUUUUUAAUUGGGGUGAUUAAUAAAUUUAACUUUAUUUUUGUAAUUCAUUAAUUUAUGUUUAUAUGAUCCUUUAUAAGAUUAUAAGAAAAAUUACCUUAGGGAUAACAGCGUAAUUUUAAUAGGAAGUUCAUAUUUAAAUUGAAGUUUGCGACCUCGAUGUUGAAUUAAGAUAUAGUUAAGGUGUAGAUGCUUUAGUGUAAAGUCUGUUCGACUUUUAAAAUCUUACA
rnacentral:rRNA from 1 species